rnacentral:rRNA from 1 species
CAGCAGCCGCGGUAAUACGUAGGUGGCAAGCGUUGUCCGGAAUUAUUGGGCGUAAAGGGCUCGCAGGCGGUUUCUUAAGUCUGAUGUGAAAGCCCCCGGCUCGGCCGGGGAGGGUCAUUGGAAACUGGGAAACUUGAGUGCAGAAGAGGAGAGUGGAAUUCCACGUGUAGCGGUGAAAUGCGUAGAGAUGUGGAGGAACACCAGUGGCGAAGGCGACUCUCUGGUCUGUAACUGACGCUGAGGAGCGAAAGCGUGGGGAGCGAACAGGAUUAGAUACCCCCGUAGUCCCUGUCUCUUAUAC